rnacentral:ncRNA from 1 species
AGCGGGAGAGUUCGUGAAGCCCCUCAGGGCCAAUCGGCGCCGAAGGAGCAACCACCCCGGAAACUCUCAGGCCCACGGACCGCAGUGU